CUGCCCUGUGCUGUAGCUCAGUAACAAAGGUUUUUGCACUUUCACAGUUGCAGUCCAGGUUCAAUUCCCCACCUAGGAAAUGGAGUCUCCUUCUGUCACCCAAGCUGGAGUGCAGUGGCGUGAUCUUGGCCCACUGCAACCUCUGCCUCCCGGGUUCAAGUGAUUCUCCUGCCUCAGCCUCCUGAGUAGCUGGAACUACAGGCACACACCACCACGCCUGGCUAGUUUUUGUAUUAUUAGUAGAGAUGGGGUUUCACCAUAUUGACCAGGCUGGUCUCAAACUCCUGACCUCAUGAUCCACCCACCUUGGCCUCCCAAAAUGUUGGUAUUACAGUUGUGAGCCGCCACGCCUGGCCCUAAAUGUUUUCUUAAAUUAAACACUUAUAAAUCUUCCAGAUAUCACCUUUUGUCAAAAUUCAAUAAUUAUGAAUGGACCUUACUAUACUGAUGCUUUCUUACUAAGCUCCUCUCUACCCUGAAUGCAAGAGACCCUCAUAGUUAGGCAAGAAUAUCAUCACCCCAUUCAACCUGAAAAAGCUACAGAAGAUGGAUCGUCAUCCCUCUGCAACCCUCAGGAUUAAGGAUUCUUUCAUAAAAGGGAGAGGGAAAUGUCAGAGACAUGUGAACCAGAGCAUCUCCAUCUUAAAUAAGAGCUGGGUAAAAUGAGGCUGAAAGUUACUGGGCUGCAUUCCCAGACGGAUAAAGCAAUCUAAGUCAUGAAGUCAGCACAAAAUACAGGUCAUAAUGACCUUGCUGAUAAAACAGGUUGCAGUAAAGGAGCCAGCCAAAACCAAAAUGGUGACAAGACUGACCUCUGGUCGUCCUCACUGCUACACUCCCAUCAGCACCAUGACAGUUUACAAAUGCCAUGGCAACGUCAGGAGGUUACCCUAUAUGGUCUAAAAAGGAGAGGCAUUAAUAAUCCACCCCUUGUUUAGUAUAUCAUCAAGAAAUAACCAUAAAAAUAGGCAACCAGCAGCCCUUGGGGCUGCUCUGUCUAUGGAGUAGCCAUUCUUUUAUUCCUUUACUUUCUUAAUAAACUUACUUUCACUUUGCACUGGGACUCAC
rnacentral:lncRNA from 1 species